rnacentral:rRNA from 1 species
UACGUAGGGGGCUAGCGUUGUCCGGAAUCAUUGGGCGUAAAGAGCGCGUAGGCGGCCCUGUAAGUCCGCUGUGAAAGUCAAGGGCUCAACCCUUGGAUGCCGGUGGAUACUGCAGGGCUAGAGUCCGGAAGAGGCGAGUGGGAAUUCCUGGUGUAGCGGGUGAAAUGCGCAGAUAUCAGGAGGAACACCGAUGGCGAAGGCGCUCGCUGGGACCGGAACUGACGCCUGAGCGCG